rnacentral:rRNA from 1 species
GUGGGGAAUUUUGGACAAUGGGCGCAAGCCUGAUCCAGCAAUGCCGCGUGCAGGAAGAAGGCCUUCGGGUUGUAAACUGCUUUUGUACGGAACGAAACGGUCCUGGUUAAUACCUGGGGCUAAUGACGGUACCGUAAGAAUAAGCACCGGCUAACUACGUGCCAGCAGCCGCGGUAAUACGUAGGGUGCAAGCGUUAAUCGGAAUUACUGGGCGUAAAGCGUGCGCAGGCGGUGUUGUAAGACAGGCGUGAAAUCCCCGGGCUCAACCUGGGAAUUGCGCUUGUGACUGCAAGGCUGGAGUGCGGCAGAGGGGGAUGGAAUUCCGCGUGUAGCAGUGAAAUGCGUAGAUAUGCGGAGGAACACCGAUGGCGAAGGCAAUCCCCUGGGCCUGCACUGACGCUCAUGCACGAAAGCGUGGGGAGCAAACAGGAUUAGAAACCCGGGUAGUCC